GGUACAAGAUGUCACACUCCCUCUAUAUCCAUAUCAUUCAACACUAAUAUCUUUGUCAUGGAUAUAUUGAGAUGCUGACAAACCUACAACUAGAUACAUCCCCAAAUCCAUCACUGUAGAUCAUCAUCAUCUUCUUCUUUUCCAUAAAUAAAAGCUUCAACGAUUUAUUUCUUGCCCUCUACAGCUUUAUCUCCAUAUAUCCUUGAAACCCAAUCUUCCUUGUGCUGUUGGACUGCAAGUGUUGAGCCUCGUUUCGAUCAAAGGAGCAAAACAAAUGCUUGAUGGAGGAGAUAAUACAGAUUUUGGUUGGUGAAGGAUCUGCCUCUGAACCUGCAUAACCUACGUCCAUUCUAAUGACCAACAGGGGACGAUGGUGACCAAUGAACAAGAAAGAGCAAUAAAUAAACAAAAUAGAAAAUAUAUGAUCAUAAAUGUACAGAAAAA